rnacentral:tRNA from 1 species
GAGGUUGUAGCUCAGUGGUAGAAUGUGUGCUUUGUAUGCACAAGGUCCUGGGUUUCAGUCCCCACCAUCA